rnacentral:rRNA from 2 species
AAUUGCGUUCAUACCAGCACUAAUGCACUGGAUCUCAAGAGAACUCCACAGGUAAGCAUGCUUGGGAGAGAGUAGUACUAGGAUCGGUGACCUACUAGGAAGUCGUCGUGUUGCGCCUC